UACGUAGGGUGCGAGCGUUGCCCGGAUUUAUUGGGCGUAAAGGGCGCGUAGGCGGCUCGGCACGUCCGUUGUGAAAUCGCCCGGCUCAACUGGGCGGGGUCAGCGGAUACGGUCGAGCUUGAGCAAGCUAGGGGGUAAUGGAAUUCCCGGUGUAGUGGUGGAAUGCGUAGAUAUCGGGAGGAACACCAGUGGCGAAGGCGGUUACCUGGGACUUUGCUGACGCUGAUGCGCGAAAGCGUGGGGAGCGAUCCGG
rnacentral:rRNA from 1 species